GGCCCUGACAGUUAGACACGUGGACUCUAAAUGUGAAUUAAGAGCUUGCAUUACACUUUACACUGGAGUUUGUAACGUGCUUAUCCUCCUCACCUCGCUGUGGGAUUCGUUAGUUAAGUUAAACAGUUGUGCCUAAUUCAAAGGGGUCGCUUCGCGUCUGACACAAAUGGAGCCAUAGAAAUAGAUAGAGAAUCACCCCUCCCAAGAACGUCCCCGGCCUUAAAGGUUUCCAGAGGCCCCUGCUGCGUGCCGUCUCCGCUUUGCUUUCCCUCGCCCCUCAAACGUGAAAGGUUUCCUUUCCUUCACUCCUGUCCAAAGCCGUGAAGGGUACUUGAGUCCAGUGAGAAAAGAAUGGAGAGAUCAGAGAAAAGGCAAAUGGAGUGCUCACAGAGAUAAGUUGGAUCAUUUGAUUUUGAAUAACGCAGCGUAAGGAAAAGUUCUCUUGCCGCUUAUUCGAGUGCUUUCUAAGAUGCGUGCCUUUUUAGACUAGGUGUCGGUGAGGUUUCUUUAGCAAUCCCUUCUUUUUUACUCUUGUCAUUAAAUAAUAGCUUAAUUACCAUUGUAUACUCUCUGUCCUAACUGCUCUGGAAACAAAUGAGACCUCUUCUUGGGGUAUUUUUUUUUUUUUUUUUUCCUUCUCAUUUCAUCCUUUCUGUUCGAAUUCCUUGAUUGUCAAAUAAUAGAAUUUUGUGCUAUGAAAAGGUCUGUCCCCUGUUAAUUUGCCAUUGUCCCUUUGUGUUCUGCUUCGUUUCUCCUGUGCGUAACGGAAUAUCACCCGCACAAGGGGAAGGUUUUAUUGAAUUGUGCGGGGUGUGCUUUCCUUGACAGUCACGUGUUCUGUAGGGUUUUUAAUUAAAUCCACAGAACUCCCUCCUCUGGGGUGCAUAACGGUUUCUUGAAUUACACCCUUCUAUUUUUGACGGUUUUCCUCAUCUUAACACUUGAAGUCAUUGUCAUUUCCGUGACAGCGAAUGUGUGUUUGUUACUCAGCAAUCCUCUAUUGUCUACAGGUUUUACUGAUGUGCAAAAUAGAAAUGGACUACGGAGGGCAUCAUACAGGCCGAUAAAGUAUUUCAGAGAAAUGUCCAAGUGAGUGAUCUAAAUACAGAUCCAUUUUUCAUCACGUCUUACAAUUCAAAUAGGCAUUAACAACAGAUCCCUGGCCUAGUUCAUUCGUAACUUCAAGAUUGUCUGGAGUUCUGCAGUGGAACGACUCGUGCAUUCGAGACUUCUCACUUCAAGAACAGUUCAAUAAAAUACACCGUUUGGCAGCACAUUGACCAUCCAUGGAACUGGAACAUUAACUUCUUAACUCCUGGUGCGCUACAUGCUGUUAUGAUGCGGGACACCGAUAACCAGAAAUCAUACAACCGUGACAAACGAUGAUACACUUGCGUUCAGAUUAUGGGCUCUGAGAGGAAAAGCAUUCCAAAGGGAAUACGUGAAUGUUGUCCGGAGGAGAGCCACGAAGACGAUCGGGGGAUGGGAGCACCUCCCCUAUGAAGACAGGCUGAGAGA